rnacentral:rRNA from 1 species
UAGUCCACGCCGUAAACGAUGCAUACUCGCUGCUAGCAAACUUGAAUGUUAGUGGCCCAGCGAAAGUGAUAAGUAUGCCACCUGGGGAGUACGUCGGCAACGAUGAAACUCAAAGGAAUUGACGGGGGCCCGCACAAGCGGAGGAACAUGUGGUUUAAUUCGAUGAUACGCGAGGAACCUUACCUGGGCUUAAAUGUAGAUUGCAUUAGAGUAGAGAUAUUCUUUUCUUCGGACUAUUUACAAGGUGCUGCAUGGUUGUCGUCAGCUCGUGCCGUGAGGUGUCGGGUUAAGUCCCAUAACGAGCGCAACCCCUAUCGUUAGUUACCAUCAGGUCAUGCUGGGGACUCUAGCGAGACUGCCGGUGUAAACCGCGAGGAAGGUGGGGAUGACGUCAAAUCAGCACGGCCCUUACGCCCAGGGCUACACACGUGUUACAAUGGCUGGUACAAUGGGUUGCUAACUUGCGAAAGUAUGCGUAAUCUCAAAAAACCAGUACUCAGUUCGGAUAGG